AAGUCGUAACAAGGUAACCGUAGGUGAACCUGCGGUUGGAUCAUUAACAAAUUUUAACGAACAUUUGAAAUGGCGCUUUUGCGCCUUUCAGUGGUCCUAACAUUAUGUGAACUUAUUAUUGAAUCUUGGUAAUGAAUGCGUGUUUCUCUUGGACCGAUGGGGGUAACCUCUGAACUUCUUGUUGUUACACAAAGCUUACCAAAAUUAAACUUUAUAAAUAUGAAAAUUUUGUCUUGAAUUAAAUUAUAUUCUAAUUUAAACAACUUUUGACAACGGAUCUCUAGGCUCUC
rnacentral:misc_RNA from 1 species